AUACCUUUCUCUGCCUUUUGGUUAAGAUCAAGUGUAGUAUCUAUUUUUAUCAGUUUAAUAUUUGAUAUGUGGAUCAUUGAUUCACAUGAUAUUAAAUUAAAUUUUCUAGCUUAUCACAAUAACUUGCUAUUAGAGUUCUCAAGUGUCGUUCAUUCGUUGCUCAACGCACCCAAU
rnacentral:snRNA from 1 species